rnacentral:rRNA from 1 species
GAUGAACGCUGGCGGCGUGCUUAACACAUGCAAGUCGAACGAAGCACUUUAUUACAAUUUCUUCGGAAUGACGAUUUAGUGACUGAGUGGCGGACGGGUGAGUAACGCGUGGGUAACCUGCCUUAUACAGGGGGAUAACAGUUAGAAAUGACUGCUAAUACCGCAUAAGCGCACAGGAUUGCAUGAUCUGGUGUGAAAAACUCCGGUGGUAUAAGAUGGACCCGCGUCUGAUUAGCUGGUUGGUGAGGUAACGGCCCACCAAGGCGACGAUCAGUAGCCGACCUGAGAGGGUGAACGGCCACAUUGGGACUGAGACACGGCCCAAAACUCCUACGGGAGGCAGCAGUGGGGAAUAGUUGCACAAUGGGGGAAACCCUGAUGCAGCGACGCCGCGUGAGUGAUGAAGUAUUUCGGUAUGUAAAACUCCAUCAGCAGGGAAGAUAAUGAACGGUACCUGACUAAGAAGCACCGGCUAAAUACGUG